rnacentral:rRNA from 1 species
UUUGUAUAAUGGGUCAGCGACUUAUAUUCAGUGGCAAGGUUAACCAUCUAGGGGAGCCGUAGGGAAACCGAGUCUUAACUGGGCGUUCAGUCUCUGGAUAUAGACCCGAAACCAGGUGAUCUAGCCAUGGGCAGGUUGAAGGUUGAGUAACAUCAACUGGAGGACCGAACCGACUAAUGUUGAAAAAUUAGCGGAUGACUUGUGGCUAGGGGUGAAAGGCCAAUCAAACCUGGAGAUAGCUGGUUCUCCCCGAAAGCUAUUUAGGUAGCGCCUCGGACGAAUACUACUGGGGGUAGAGCACUGUUAAGGCUAGGGGGUCAUCCCGACUUACCAACCCUUUGCAAACUCCGAAUACCAGUAAGUACUAUCCGGGAGACACACGGCGGGUGCUAACGUCCGUCGUGGAGAGGGAAACAACCCAGACCGCCAGCUAAGGUCCCAAAUUACUACUAAGUGGGAAACGAUGUGGGAAGGCUCAGACAGCCAGGAUGUUGGCUUAGAAGCAGCCAUCAUUUAAAGAAAGCGUAAUAGCUCACUGGUCGAGUCGGCCUGCGCGGAAGAUGUAACGGGGCUAAGUAGUAAACCGAAGCUGCGGCAAUGCACUUUAGUGCAUUGGGUAGGGGAGCGUUCUGUAAGCGGUUGAAGGUGUGUGGUAACGCAUGCUGGACGUAUCAGAAGUGCGAAUGCUGACAUGAGUAACGAUAAAGGGGGUGAAAAACCUCCUCGCCGGAAGACCAAGGGUUCCUGUCCAACGUUAAUCGGGGCAGGGUAAGUCGACCCCUAAGGCGAGGCCGAAAGGCGUAGUCGAUGGGAAACGGGUUAAUAUUCCCGUACUUCUUACAAUUGCGAUGGGGGGACGGAGAAGGCUAGGUGGGCCUGGCGACGGUUGUCCAGGUUCAAGUGUGUAGGCUGAGAAAUUAGGUAAAUCCGGUUUCUCUUAAGGCUGAGACACGACGUCGAGCAUCUACGGAUGUGAAGUCAUUGAUGCCAUGCUUCCAGGAAAAGCCUCUAAGCUUCAGAUUGUAAGGAAUCGUACCCCAAACCGACACAGGUGGUCGGGUAGAGAAUACCAAGGCGCUUGAGAGAACUCGGGUGAAGGAACUAGGCAAAAU